ACGUCCAUACCACGCUGAAUACACCGUCCGACCACCGAAGUUAAGCAGCGUCGGGCGCGGUCUGUACUUGGAUGGGUGACCGCCUGGGAACACCGCGUGAUGUUG